GUUCCAACGUGUACUGUCCGCAGAGAACGUGUUUAACAACCACUCAGACCCAUUCAGCGUUUCGUAGCCAAAAUAAAAACAAAUAGAAUGUCACUGUUAUACUGAACAUUCCCGUGUUUUUCACCGCUCAUGCGAGCAGUAGAAGCGGUUUCGUGUUCCGUCUCCCCUCAGUGACCGCAGCUGGAGGUUGCGCUCAAAAUGGCUGGAGGAAAACAGUUAUGAAGAUCAGCCGUUUUGCAAGAUAUCUCCUCUGAUUAUGACCUCCGAAGCGGAGUGAAGACGAACCCUCCGGUCUCCCGGGGACUCGGAGCUGUUCAGAAGAGGAGGAGAGUGGGAUUAGUGAAUGUAGAUCAGGACCAGAAAGCAAAGGAAAAUUCCCCCCUAACCUCAGCCGUAAUAACAGAACUGGAAACAUUUCUCUCUGUGGUAAGCUGUUCCGGAAUCAGUUAAACGUUCCUUUCCAGUCUAUUACGUUUACUUUAAUACACAUUUGCCAGACGAGCAGGUUUUGCUAUCCCAAAUAGUUUCAUACCCCUCUUUUCUCUUUCUUGGUUUUCUUUGACUUUUCUCUAAGUGCUGCUGAC
ensembl:lncRNA